AUUGAACGCUGGCGGCAGGCUUAACACAUGCAAGUCGAGCGAGCGGCGGACGGGUGAGUAAUGUCUGGGAAACUGCCUGAUGGAGGGGGAUAACUACUGGAAACGGUAGCUAAUACCGCAUACAAUCAGAUGUGCCCAGAGGGGAUUAGCUAGUGGGUGGGGUAAUGGCGCACCAAGGCGACGAUCCGUAGCUGGUCUGCGAGGAUGAACAGCCACACGCGAACUGAGACACGGUCCAGACUCCUACGGGAGGCAGCAGUGGGGAUUAUUGCGCAAGGGGCGCAAGCCUGAGGCAGCCAUGCCGCGUGUGUGAAGAAGGCCUUCGGGUUGUAAAGCACUUUCGGCGAGGAGGCGUUACUCGCAGAAGAAGCACCGGCUAACUCCGUGCCAGCAGCCGCGGUAAUUC
rnacentral:rRNA from 1 species